UGCCAAGUCUUCUCCUGCGUAUUCUUAAGCUACCGUGUUUUUGGAUCGAAACCUCCUCCGCGGCGCCGCAAUGGGACACUCCAACGUUUGGAACUCUCACCCCAAGAAUUAUGGUCCUGGUUCUCGUACUUGCCGUGUGUGUGGAAACCCACAUGGAUUGAUCAGGAAGUAUGGCCUUAUGUGCUGCAGGCAGUGCUUCCGUAGCAAUGCCAAGGAGAUUGGCUUCAUCAAGGUAUCUGUUUCUGCUAUUCCCAAUUUUAUUCUUUCUAACUAAUUCAAUGUGAUAUAUGCGUCAAUCUGUUACAUGCAUCUUGAUAGGUUGAUUUGCUUUGAGUCAUGUAGCUGUCUUGCCGUUUGUUCUAAUUACAUUUUGUUGUUGUUGCAGUAUCGCUAAGGAGCUCGUCACCUCCCUACCAAUGUUUUUUUUCUGGCCCUAGGAUGUUCUGAGGAUGUUAUGUUUGAAGAAACUUGAGACUUUAUUUUGUCAGACUUAAUUUGUGGAUUUAAGAAAUACUUUUAAAUAUAUUGUUUUGAACUUUCUAUAAGUGAUCCUAUAAUCAUUCUCCAUUUUAUGCA
rnacentral:sRNA from 1 species